GUCUACAGCCAUACCACCCUGAACGCGCCCGAUGUCGUCUGAUCUUGGAAGCUAAGCAGGGUCGGGCCUGGUUAGUACUUGGAUAGGAGAAACAAACACAAGGAAGCAGCCA
rnacentral:rRNA from 1 species